CGUCAAAUCAUCAUGCCCUAUAUGUCCUGGGCAACACACGUACUACAAUGGCCAUUACAGAAGGAAACGAAACCGCGAGGUAGAGUGGAUCCUAUAAAAAUGGUCUCAGUUCGGAUUGAAGGCUGAAAUUCGCCUUCAUGAAGUCGGAAUUGCUAGUAAUUGCAGGUCAGCAUACUGCAGUGAAUACGUUCCCGGCUCUU
rnacentral:rRNA from 1 species